rnacentral:lncRNA from 1 species
AUGGUGGAGUUCAGGAUCCUGCGAGGAGGAGGCAGGGCACCAAGUAGGAUCGCAACCCUGGACUUCAGGAGACCAGACUUUGGCCUCUUCAGGGACCUAUUUGGGGGAAUCCCAUGGGUUAGGGCCCUAGAAGGAAGGGGGAUCCAAGAGAGCUGGUUAAUAUUCAAACAUCACUUCCUCCAAGCUCAAGAUUGGGGCAUCCUUACGAGUAAGAAGUCAAGCAAAGGAGGCAGGAGACCUGCAUGGAUGAGCAAGGAGCUCCUGGCAAAACUCAACCAGAAGAAGGAAGUAUACAGAAAGUGGAAAGGAGGACAGGCCACUUGGGAGGAAUAUAGGAACRYUGUCAGAGUAUGCAGGGWUGYGACGAGGAAGGCUAAGGCCCAUUUGGAAUUAAAUCUGGCGAGAGAUGUCAAGGACAGCAAGAAGGGCUUCUUCAAAUACAUCACUAGCAAGAGGAAGGCUAGGGAAAAUGUGGGCCCAUUGCUGAAUGGGGUGGGUGCCCUGGUGACGAAGGAUGCAGAGAAGGCAGAGUUACUGAAUGCCUUCUUUGCUUCAGUCUUUACUGCUCAGGCCAGCCCUCAGGAACCCCAGACCCUGGAGACCACAGAGAAAGUCUGGAGAAAGGAAGACUUUCCCUUGGUGGAGGAGGAUCAGGUUAGAGAUCAUUUAGGCAAAUCUAACACCCACAAAUCCAUGGGCCCUGAUGGGAUGCACCCACAAGUGCUGAGGGAGCUGGCGGAUGUUAUUGCUAAGCCACUCUCCAUCAUCUUUGAAAGGUCAUGGAGAACAGGAGAGGUGCCUGAAGACUGGAAGAAAGCCAAUGUCACCSCAGUCUUCAAAAAGGGCAAGAAGGAGGACCCAGGGAACUACAGGCCAGUCAGCCUCACCUCCAUCCCUAGAAACAUGAUGGAGGCCAUCUCCAAGCAUGUGGAGGASAAGAAGGUGAUCAGGAGUAGUCAGCAUGGCUUCACCAAGGGGAAAUCAUGCUUAACCAAUCUGAUAACCUCCUCUGAUGGAAUGACUGGCUGGGUAGAUGAGGGGAGAGCAGUGGAUGUUGUCUCCCUUGACUUCAGCAAGGCUUUUGACACUGUCUCCCAUAACAUCCUCAUAGACAAGCUCAGGAAGUGUGGGCUAGAUGAGUGGACAGCAAGGUGGAUUGAGAACUGGCUGAAUGGCAGUGAUCAGUGGUGCAGAGUCUAG